UAUCCACCCUAUAGUUUCCUAUUUUUUUUUUUAUUUUAAUAUCCUAUAAUUUAAAUUGUAUCAAUUUUAGUAAUCCGUGAUUUUAUUUUUUUUUAUUAUUACGUUCACUAAUUUUUUUUUAUUAAAUCCGUCACAAAGUUAAAACUAAAAUGUAUUAAAAUAAAUAUUCGAUAAACCUAGAUGUGUAUAAAGUUUUUUGCAUAUAAUAAUUUAACAAAAUGUUAACAGAGGAGCCAACGAAAAGAAAAAAAAUAAAAUCACAUGGUACUGUAUUGAUAUAUAUACUUAAAUUACAUGGCACUGUAUUGACAUACUUAAAUCACUUGGCACUGUAUUGAUAUACUUAAAUCACAUAGUAUUUAAAGUGAAAAAAUGCGAAACUAUAGAAAUGAUAUUUGAGGUUUGUCCAAAAAAAAAGAGUC
rnacentral:lncRNA from 1 species